GAUUUUUGGGAUAGCAUUGGAAAUGUAAAUGAAAUAAAUACCUAAUUAAAAAAAAAUAAAAUAAAGGCAAACCUUAAAAAGCAUCAGAGGUGAACACAGGAACAUGUUAGGGUCCGAGGAGGCUGGAGAGCAGCUAUACGGUGCUCUGCGUUAGAAGGGCUGCCUUUUAAGACAUAGCGAACUUUUACAUUAUUCUCAGCUGCCCUAAUGCAACUCAGUGCUGUCCUCAAAAUGUGUUCCAUCGACUGGGAACACAUCCUGCUAAGAACUGUCAGAAACGAGUGCCCCUGAUUUCUUAACAGGCCUCUGUCUCCAGUGGUACCCAAGACCACUGCAUUUUACAAUAGGCAAUGACUUAGAUACAAAGACAGUGAGUGUAUCAAUAAUAUGAAAAGGCAUGAUCUAUGGAGAGGGGCUCCGAGGAGUGUAGCGCCUCAUGAGAGAGCAUCCCAAGGUCUAAAAAGCCCUCUGAGCUACCAGUGACCGGAGGAGACCCUCGCCUGGUCCAGCUUGCCGUCAAGGUUACAUUUACGGGGUGGUGUCUGUGCUAGCCAUGAUCAUUCUAAAUAGACACGUUCAGGCUCACUUCCUCUGAACCUCAGGAAAACUCAUCUGAUAAAAGCCUCCUUUUAUUCCUCCUAAAAUGCUCAGCAAUCUACCCAGCAUGAUGGUUGGUCUUCAUUGUCAGUUUGACGGGAUUUAGGAUCACCAUGGAAACACACAUCUGGAUACAUAGCUAUGAGGGCAUCUUUAGAAAGGUUUAACUGAAAAAAAGGAUCACCUAUCCUGAAUGAGGGAGGUACCACCCUGUGGGCUAGGGUCCCAGAUGUCACCAAAACUGGGGUCUCAGAGUGAAUAGGAAGGAGCGAGCAGAUGGAGCAGCAGCAUCCGUCACUGUUUGCUGACUGUGGAUGCGAUAUGACCAGCUGCCUCACAUUCCUGCUGCCACAAGAAGACCUGUGCCUGCUGUCCUGCCUCCCCAGAAUAAUGGACUGUAUCCUCAAAUCCUUAAGUUACUUUCCCGAGGCAUCCUGUCAAGGAACAAGAACAGCCAUCAAUACAGCCAGCAAGAAACAAAAGCAGAAAGAGCACCCGCAAAUUAAGCUCAACCCCCAGCAACAAGAAAAUGGAGUUACAGCCAGGUUAUGGUGGUGCAGGCCUUUAAUCCCAGCAAUCAGGAGGCAGAGGCAGUUGGAUGUCUGUGAGUUCGAGGGCAGCCUGGCCUACAGUAGAGUGAGUUCUAGGACAGCCAGGGCUACAUAAAGAAAUCCUGUCUCAAAUCCCUCCGAAAAGAAGGAAGGAAGGAAGGAAGGAAGGAAGGAAGGAAGGAAGGAAGGAAGGAAGGAAGACAGCAAAUGGAGUUGUACUUCUAGACCUAAAUUUGAGGAGGCUGAGGGGGCGUGACAGGUCCAGCCGUGGUCUGCCGUACUGAAAAUUAGCUAAGAACCCCUCAGUGACAUUAUUUAUUCAACAAUAUCAAAAUGUAAAUGAACCACUAUGCUAAAAAAAAAAAAAGAUAGAAAAAAGAGAAAGAAAUCCAUACAGCUGGUUUCUAUAUGAAUGCAGAAACACCAUUUCUUUAAAAAAAAAUAUGAACGAUUUCUUCAUCUCUCACAUUCAGUUAGUAUACAGUUGGCAUUUUCAAAAUGCAAACCUGAUGUGGCUUUGGAAUUCAUUGAAGCACAUUGGAAGACAUCUGAGUGGAGGGGUUGGGGGGUGCGGCAGGGAUUCUAGCCAUAUGCUGCUGGUGCAUGGAUUUGAAUAUUUGAAAGGUAAUCUAGAAAAGAGAAUGCUUCCAGCUCUCCUUACCAACAACAGUCAUUCGUAGCAACCACACGUUUUAUAGAUCGAACCACUUGCCCAUGUGUGAGACAAUUACACGAGGACGUCAGGGGCUAGCCUCCCAGGGCAGCCUGGCUAGUUCAAGUGUGAUUCUCGAUAGGCUACUGGACAUAGAGCCCAGCAGUCCUCUGCGUCACUGCUAAGGGAGGGAUGAUGGCUCUGGCCACAUUGAGUGUAUUCACAAAGAGAUUUCCU
rnacentral:lncRNA from 1 species